CCCAAAGUAGUGUAGUGGUAACACGCCCUUUGACACGCGGUCUUCUCAAGAAGCCGUGCCUUCGGGGGUGGGAAACCCAGGUUCGAUUCCUGGCUUUGGAC